AGCUACGGCCAUAUCUCGAGAAACGCAAGAUUUCCCGUCCGAUCAAUCGUAUUUAAGCCUCGAAGAGCCUUUAUCAGUAAUGCCGUGGGAGACCAGGCGUGAACAAAAGGUGUUGUAGUUC
rnacentral:rRNA from 1 species